rnacentral:rRNA from 1 species
UUGGAGGGCAAGUCUGGUGCCAGCAGCCGUGGUAAUUCCAGCUCCAAUAGCGUAUAUUAAAGUUGUUGCAGUUAAAAAGCUCAUAGUUGAAUUUCGGGAUCAACGUGAUGGUCAUGCCUUAAGGGUAUGAACUGUUGCAGUUGAUUUCUCACCUUCUGGAGAAGCUUGAUGUCCUUAAUUGGGUGUCAUGUGGAACCAGGACCUUUACCUUGAAAAAAUUAGAGUGUUUAAAGCAGGCAUUUUGCUCGAAUACAUUAGCAUGGAAUAAUAGAAUAGGAUGGCAUGGUUCUAUUUUGUUGGUUUCUAGGAUCACCGUAAUGAUUAAUAGGGAUAGUUGGGGGCAUUAGUAUUCAAUUGCCAGAGGUGAAAUUCUUGGAUUUAUUGAAGACUAACUACUGCGAAAGCAUUUGCCAAGGAUGUUUUCAUUAAUCAAGAACGAAAGUUAGGGGAUCGAAGACGAUCAGAUACCGUCGUAGUCUUAACCAUAAACUAUGCCGACUAGGGAUCGGAUGAUGUUAAUUUUUUAAUGACUCAUUCGGCGCCUUACGGGAAAC